ACUAUGACGAAGCUAGCUUGAGUUUUCGUUCUUCGGUCCUCUACACCUUUUGUUGUGCAAAAUAUUUGUUAAGUGGGGCUCAUAUUUCAUUCGUUAGUGAUAUUUGAUUUUGCAUAUGUCGGUUCCACUAGUUGGAUAAGACCAAUCGCAUCAAUAGGUAUAGUCUAGAUCAAGUGACAUUGGCUCAUAAUUUGGUUAAGAGAUUGUUGAUAUAGAUAUAAGAUUAAAUCAAGGAGUAAAGAAAAUCAAGUGUAGAUUAGUAUAAUAGAGAAAUAGAAAGAAUGGUCCAGGUACAUUUUCUCUUUAUCAUAUCAUAUAACUUUCAUAUAUGGACCGAUUAAAUAUUGAACAUGUGGCCUUGAAACGUAUUGAAGAGUCCUUCUAUCCUUGAAAACAGAAUUACAGUACAUUGUAUUUAUCAUGCGUUCUCCAUCCUGGAUAUGAUUCCCAU
rnacentral:lncRNA from 1 species